GAUGAAGAACGUAGCGAAAUGCGAUAAGUAAUGUGAAUUGCAGAAUUCAGUGAAUCAUCGAAUCUUUGAACGCACCUUGCACCCUUUGGCAUUCCGAAGGGUAUGCUCGUUUGAGUGCCAUUGUACUCUCACACUCUCCGAUCCUAUGGAUUCGGGGAGCGGUGGACUUGGGUGUUGCUGCCUUUCCUUGUGGCUCACCUCAAAUGUGUCAGUGCACCUCUUGGUUGGACAUAGUACGGCGUGAUAAGUGUCUUCGCCGGCACCUCGCAAGAGGGUGGCCGAUCGGGAGCUCUGUGCUUUCAAACCGUCUUCGGACAAUUUCUGACAACUUGACCUCAAAUCGAGUAGGACUACCCGCUGAACUUAAGCAUAUCAAUAAGCGGAGGA
rnacentral:misc_RNA from 1 species